rnacentral:RNase_P_RNA from 1 species
GCAGCAGACCGGGCAGUCGCGGGGGUCUAAUAAGACUCUCGAGGAAAGUCCGAGCUCCACAGGGCAGGGUGCUGGGUAACGCCCAGUGAGGGUAACCUUAAGGAAAGUGCCACAGAAAGAAACCGCCUCCAGGAGAGGUAAGGGUGCAACGGUGCGGUAAGAGCGCACCAGCAGCCAGGUGACUGGCUGGCUAGGUAAACCCCACCCGGAGCAAGACCGAAUAGGGGAGAGUUGACGUGGCCCGCCGAUCUCCCGGG